UGUAUCUUAGUGGUAAAGUGUUUGCCUUGAAAGCAGAAGGCACUGGGUUCAAUCCUCAGCA
rnacentral:tRNA from 1 species